rnacentral:rRNA from 1 species
AGAGUUUGAUCCUGGCUCAGAACGAACGCUGGCGGCGUGGAUAAGGCAUGCAAGUCGAACGAUCUCGCAAGAGAUAGUGGCAGGAGGGUUAGUAACACGUGGGUAAUCUACCCUUUGGUUAAGGAUAACUUCGCGAAAGCGAGGCUAAUACUGAAUAAAAUUUUCGGGACAUAUGUCCUGAAAAUCAAAGGUGGCUCGUAAGGGCUGCCGCCGAUUGAUGAGCCCGCGACCUAUCAGCUUGUUGGUGAGGUAAUGGCUCACCAAGGCUUUUGACGGGUAGCUGGUCUAAGAGGAUGGUCAGCAACACUGGGACUGAGACACUGCCCAGACUCCUACGGGAGGCUGCAGUCGAGGAUCUUUAUCAAUGCCCGAAAGGGUGAAUAUGCGACGCCGCGUGCAGGAUGACGGCCUUCGGGUUGUAAACUGCUGUCAGGGGUGAGGAAAAGUCACGGACGAAUAAUCCGUGGCCUUGACGUUAACCCCAAAGGAAGCCACGGCUAACUCUGUGCCAGCAGCCGCGGUAAUACAGAGGUGGCAAGCGUUGUUCGGAUUCAUUGGGUGUAAAGGGUAGGUAGGUGGCUGUGCAAGUCUGUUGUGAAAUCCCAGGGCUCAACCCUGGAACUGCAAUGGAAACUGCAUGGCUUGAGCGUUAGAGAGGUGAGGGGAAUUCUUGGUGUAAGGGUGAAAUCUGUAGAUAUCAAGAGGAACACCUGUGGCGAAGGCGCCUCACUGGCUGACUGCUGACACUGAACUACGAAAGCUGGGGGAGCAAACAGGAUUAGAUACCCUGGUAGUCCCAGCCGUAAACGAUGUGGAUUAGGUGUUGGAAGUGUCGAUCCUUUCAGUGCCGCCGUUAACACAUUAAAUCCACCACCUGGGGAGUACGGUCGCAAGACUGAAACUCAAAGGAAUUGACGGGGACCCGCACAAGCGGUGGAGCAUGUGGUUUAAUUCGAGGCUACGCGAGGAACCUUACCUGGGCUUGACAUGAUGGCAGUAGCCCUGAUGAAAGUCGGGGCGAUCGUAUCCAAUCGAAGGUUAUCACAGGUGCUGCAUGGCUGUCGUCAGCUCGUGCUGUGAAGUGUUGGGUUAAGCCCCGCAACGAGCGCAACCAUUGCCCUUAGUUGCCAACAGGUUAAGCUGGGAACUCUAAGGGGACUGCCAGUGAUAAACUGGAGGAAGGUGGAGAUGACGUCAAGUCAGCAUGGCCCUUACGCCCAGGGCUACACACGUGCUACAAUGGCUGGUACAAUGGGCAGCGAACCCGCGAGGGGGAGCAAAUCCCAAAAAGCCGGCCCCAGUUCGGAUUGCAGGCUGCAAUUCGCCUGCAUGAAGUUGGAAUCGCUAGUAAUGGCACAUCAGACACGGUGCCGUGAAUACGUUCCCGGGUCUUGUACACACCGCCCGUCAAGCCACCUGAAUCGGGAGUACCCGAAGUCGUUGAUCCAACCCUCACGGGGGGAAGACGCCGAUGGUAAAUCCGGUGAGGAGGGCUAAGUCGUAACAAGGUA